UUUGUCCACAAGAUAAGAACUUUCUUGGUCUUCUAGAGAGUGUGGAGGUCACCUUCACCUGCUGCUCCCACUGGAAGCCAGGCUUUUUCCCACCCAUCCAAGGACUGGGCUGCCCACCGUGCCAGCAGACAGGACAAUCCAAGGAACAUCUGCCAGGAUGGACAUAUGUUGUCAAUCUCUUUUGUAAAUUCUGUAAGAAGCUGUCAGCAUAAGCCAGCUCUGAUGGAAAGACCAGCCACACCACAACAAGCUGCCUUUGGGCUGACAAGGAAGAUGGGGUCUCUGGUAGCCUGUGGUUACCAAAUUGUUCCCCUGGUACCUGAUGGAAGAAGGGCACUAACUCUGCAUUAGCAGCCUCCAAUAAACCUGCCUCUCCAGUCUAGCCAGCAACUCUGCUUGGACACUGUUUUUUCCCUUUCAAGUUGUUGCUAUGAAACACCAAAACAACUACCUCCAUUUUUCAAUGGCGAGGGAAAAGUGCUCUCAUACAGCUUGAUAAACCAUGCUGAGCUCCUUUCAUGAAGAAAGCAAUUCAAUGAUGCCAGAGGCCAAGAGGACCAUUCCUGCCUCCUGCUGACGUUAGCUCCUCAAGACUCAUUGACAAGAUGUCUCCCUCCAGGACAUUUAGGCUGCUGAUGCUGAAGGCAAACAUAAUUUCUCCCCCAUUAUUUCUAGCUUGAUCAGCCUAGGAUUAGAAAAAAAAAAUCCAAACCAAAAACCAAACCCUAAAAAUGAUAAUAUAAAAAUAACAACAAAAAUUUGGCACAGUUCCCGGUCUUUGUUGCUCAGCCCCUGAUGUCUGGAUGGCUCUGCAGGACCUGGAGGAGUGUGAGUCCCUGUGUAUGAGGAGUACACAGGGUUUGCCUGGGGCAGGGCAGAGAUAAGCAAGAAGAAAUCAGUUUUGGAGAAACUUUUUCACCCUAAAUUGCAUAUUAAUGGCAUCUUAAAAUGACAACAAAUGCCUGUCUGUGUAGCUCUGGCCUUUGAUCUUUUCCAUCGUUCUGCUGUUUUAAGAGGCCAGAAGAUUAAAGGGGACCCCUGCAUGUCCCACAGUGCCACCACAGAGUGGCCUUGGAUGACUUGGUCCCUGGAAGUUGCCACUCAUGGCUGAGAUCCCCAACUUAUAAAGUCAGAAGUGGUUUCCAAUAAAAGGAAAAAGCCUUCAUCUUGGCCAGGUGAAGGCUGAAUGCAAACAG